rnacentral:sRNA from 1 species
GCUGGGCGGGGUGGUGCAUGCCUGUAAUCCCAGCAGCUCUGGAGGCUGAGGCAGGAGGAUGGCUAGUUGAAAGCCAGCCUCAGCAACUUAUCGAGGCCCUAAGCAACUUAUCAAGACCCUGUCUCUA